UGGGAGAGUAAAGUGGCGCACGGGUGAGUAACGCGUGGGUAACCUGCCCUUGAAUUGGGGAUAACUCUCCGAAAGGGGAGUUAAUACCGAAUAAUAUUCCAAUUCCUCCGGGAGUUGGAAUCAAAGGUGGCCUCUGCAUGCAAGCUAUCGUUUAAGGAUGGGCCCGCGUACCAUUAGCUAGUUGGUAGGGUAAUAGCCUACCAAGGCAACGAUGGUUAGCUGGUCUAAGAGGAUGGCCAGCCACACUGGAACUGAGACACGGUCCAGACUCCUACGGGAGGCAGCAGUGGGGAAUCUUGCGCAAUGGGGGCAACCCUGACGCAGCAACGCCGCGUGGGUGAUGAAGGCCUUCGGGUCGUAAAGCCCUGUCAGGUGGAAAGAACCGUAUCGGUACAAACAGUGCCGAUGCUUGACGGUACCACCGGAGGAAGCACCGGCUAACUCCGUGCCAGCAGCCGCGGUAAUACGGAGGGUGCAAGCGUUGUUCGGAAUUACUGGGCGUAAAGCGCGUGCAGGCGGUUGAGCAAGUCAGAUGUGAAAGCCUUCCGCUUAACGGAAGAAGUGCAUUUGAAACUACUCGGCUAGAGUUCGAGAGAGGAGAGUGGAAUUC
rnacentral:rRNA from 1 species